GCCCGCCUAGCUCAAUCGGAUAGAGCGUCAGACUCUUAGUGCGGGUCCCCAUCGGCUUCUCGGCAUCUGAAGGCUGCGAGUUCGACCCUCGCGGUGGGCU